rnacentral:rRNA from 1 species
AACACGUAAAGAACCUGCCCUCAGGUCUGGGAUAACCACGAGAAAUCGGGGCUAAUACCGGAUGGGUCAUCGGACCGCAUGGUCCGAGGAUGAAAGACGCUUCGGCGUCGCCUGGGGAUGGCUUUGCGGUGCAUUAGCUAGUUGGUGGGGUAAUGGCCCACCAAGGCGACGAUGCAUAGCCGACCUGAGAGGGUGAUCGGCUACACUGGGACUGAGAUACGGCCCAGACUCCUACGGGAGGCAGCAGUAGGGAAUCUUCCACAAUGGACGAAAGUCUGAUGGAGCAACGCCGCGUGAACGAUGAAGGCCUUCGGGUCGUAAAGUUCUGUUGUAAGGGAAGAACAAGUGCCGCAGGCAAUGGCGGCACCUUGACGGUACCUUGCGAGAAAGCCACGGCUAACUACGUGCCAGCAGCCGCGGUAAUACGUAGGUGGCAAGCGUUGUCCGGAAUUAUUGGGCGUAAAGCGCGCGCAGGCGGCCUCUUAAGUCUGAUGUGAAAGCCCCCGGCUCAACCGGGGAGGGCCAUUGGAAACUGGGAGGCUUGAGUAUAGGAGAGAAGAGUGGAAUUCCACGUGUAGCGGUGAAAUGCGUAGAGAUGUGGAGG